AAGGAUUUAAGUUAAAUAAACUAAUAGUCUUCAAAGCUGUAAAUAAAGGUUCUCUUUAAGCCUUA
rnacentral:tRNA from 2 species